GUGGGGAAUCUUCCGCAAUGGACGAAAGUCUGACGGAGCAACGCCGCGUGAGUGAAGAAGGUUUUCGGAUCGUAAAGCUCUUUCGUUAGGGACGAACGUGCUCUUUGUGAAUAAUGAGGAGUAAUGACGGUACCUAAAUAAGAAGCCACGGCUAACUACGUGCCAGCAGCCGCGGUAAUACGUAGGUGGCAAGCGUUGUCCGGAAUUAUUGGGCGUAAAGAGCGCGCAGGCGGGAUAUCAAGUCUGUCUUAAAAGUGCGAGGCUCAACCUCGUGAGGGGACAGAAACUGGUAUUCUUGAGUGUCGGAGAGGAAAGUGGAAUUCCAAGUGUAGCGGUGAAAUGCGUAGAGAUUUGGAAGAACACCAGUGGCGAAGGCGACUUUCUGGACGAUGUCUGACACUGAGGCGCGAAAGCUAGGAGAGCGAACGGGAUUAGAAACCCCAGUAGUCC
rnacentral:rRNA from 1 species